rnacentral:piRNA from 1 species
UGACAGAAGUGUAGGCUCCAAGAAAGC